AGUGAUCUAGGUUAUUUUGGACUGUCUGUUUUCAAAACAGGAGGUGGCUUUGGUCGGUUGCUG
rnacentral:tRNA from 12 species